AAUCAACGCUGGCGGCGUGCCUAACACAUGCAAGUCGAACGAGAAAGUGGAGCAAUCCAUGAGUAAAGUGGCGCACGGGUGAGUAACACGUGACUGACCUACCUUUUAGUGGGGGAUAACCUAGGGAAACCUGGGCUAAUACCGCAUAACACUUACGAGUCAAAGUCCGCCUCGGCGGACGCUGAAAGAGGGGGUCGCGGCCGAUUAGCUAGUUGGCGGGGUAAUGGCCCACCAAGGCGAUGAUCGGUAUCCGGCCUGAGAGGGCGCACGGACACACUGGAACUGAAACACGGUCCAGACUCCUACGGGAGGCAGCAGUGGGGAAUUUUGCGCAAUGGGGGAAACCCUGACGCAGCAACGCCGCGUGGAGGAUGAAGUCCCUUGGGACGUAAACUCCUUUCGACCGGGAAGAUAAUGACGGUACCGGAAGAAGAAGCCUC
rnacentral:rRNA from 1 species